CCUAGUGGUUAGAGUGUAGAGGUGGCAGGGUAGCCUAGUGGUUAGAGUGUAGAGGUGGCAGGGUAGCCUAGUGGUUAGAGUGUAGAGGAGGCAGGGUAGCCUAGUGGUUAGAGUGUAGAGGAGGCAGGGUAGCCUAGUGGUUAGAGUGUAGAGGUGGCAGGGUAGCCUAGUGGUUAGAGUGUAGAGGUGGCAGGGUAGCCUAGUGGUUAGAGUGUAGAGGUGGCAGGGUAGCCUAGUGGUUAGAGUGUAGAGGUGGCAGGGUAGCCUAGUGGUUAGAGUGUAGAGGUGGCAGGGUAGCCUAGUGGUUAGAGUGUAGAGGUGACAGGGUAGCCUAGUGGUUAGAGUGUAGAGGCGGCAGGGUAGCCUAGUGGUUAGAGUGUAGAGGUGGCAGGGUAGCCUAGUGGUUAGAGUGUAGAGGUGGCAGGGUAGCCUAGUGGUUAGAGUGUAGAGGUGGCAGGGUAGCCUAGUGGUUAGAGUGUAGAGGCGGCAGGGUAGCCUAGUGGUUAGAGUGUAGAGGUGGCAGGGUAGCCUAGUGGUUAGAGUGUAGAGGUGGCAGGGUAGUCUAGUGGUUAGAGUGUAGAGGUGGCAGGGUAGCCUAGUGGUUAGAGUGUAGAGGUGGCAGGGUAGCCUAGUGGUUAGAGUGUAGAGGUGGCAGGGUAGCCUAGUGGUUAGAGUGUAGAGGUGGCAGGGUAGCCUAGUGGUUAGAGUGUAGAGGUGGCAGGGUAGCCUAGUGGUUAGAGUGUAGAGGUGGCAGGGUAGCCUAGUGGUUAGAGUGUAGAGGUGGUAGGGUAGCCUAGUGGUUAGAGUGUAGAGGUGGCAGGGUAGCCUAGUGGUUAGAGUGUAGAGGCGGCAGGGUAGCCUAGUGGUUAGAGUGUAGAGGUGGCAGGGUAGCCUAGUGGUUAGAGUGUAGAGGUGGCAGGGUAGCCUAGUGGUUAGAGUGUAGAGGUGGCAGGGUAGCCUAGUGGUUAGAGUGUAGAGGCGGCAGGGUAGCCUAGUGGUUAGAGUGUAGAGGUGGCAGGGUAGCCUAGUGGUUAGAGUGUAGAGGUGGCAGGGUAGUCUAGUGGUUAGAGUGUAGAGGUGGCAGGGUAGCCUAGUGGUUAGAGUGUAGAGGUGGCAGGGUAGCCUAGUGGUUAGAGUGUAGAGGUGGCAGGGUAGCCUAGUGGUUAGAGUGGAGGGGCGGCAGGGUAGCCUAGUGGUUAGAGUGUAGAGGCGGCAGGGUAGCCUAGUGGUUAGAGUGUAGAGGUGGCAGGGUAGCCUAGUGGUUAGAGUGUAGAGGUGGCAGGGUAGUCUAGUGGUUAGAGUGUAGAGGUGGCAGGGUAGCCUAGUGGUUAGAGUGUAGAGGUGGCAGGGUAGCCUAGUGGUUAGAGUGUAGAGGCGGCAGGGUAGCCUAGUGGUUAGAGUGUAGAGGUGGCAGGGUAGCCUAGUGGUUAGAGUGUAGAGGUGGCAGGGUAGUCUAGUGGUUAGAGUGUAGAGGUGGCAGGGUAGCCUAGUGGUUAGAGUGUAGAGGUGGCAGGGUAGCCUAGUGGUUAGAGUGUAGAGGUGGCAGGGUAGCCUAGUGGUUAGAGUGGAGGGGCGGCAGGGUAGCCUAGUGGUUAGAGUGUAGAGGUGGCAGGGUAGCCUAGUGGUUAGAGUGUAGAGGUGGCAGGGUAGCCUAGUGGUUAGAGUGUAGAGGAUGGCAGGGUAGCCUAGUGGUUAGAGUGUAGAGGUGGCAGGGUAGCCUAGUGGUUUGAGUGUAGAGGUGGCAGGUAGCC